UGGGAAUAUUGCACAAUGGGCGGAAGCCUGAUGCAGCAACGCCGCGUGCGGGAUGACGGCCUUCGGGUUGUAAACCGCUUUCGCCUGUGACGAAGCGUGAGUGACGGUAAUGGGUAAAGAAGCACCGGCUAACUACGUGCCAGCAGCCGCGGUGAUACGUAGGGUGCGAGCGUUGUCCGGAUUUAUUGGACGUAAAGGGCUCGUAGGUGGUUGAUCGCGUCGGAAGUGUAAUCUUGGGGCUUAACCCUGAGCGUGCUUUCGAUACGGGUUGACUUGAGGAAGGUAGGGGAGAAUGGAAUUCCUGGUGGAGCGGUGGAAUGCGCAGAUAUCAGGAGGAACACCAGUGGCGAAGGCGGUUCUCUGGGCCUUUCCUGACGCUGAGGAGCGAAAGCGUGGGGAGCGAACAGGCUUAGAUACCCUGGUAGUCCACGCUGUAAACGGUGGGUACUAGGUGUGGGGUCCAUUCCACGGGUUCCGUGCCGUAGCUAACGCUUUAAGUACCCCGCCUGGGGAGUACGGCCGCAAGGCUA
rnacentral:rRNA from 1 species